UCCACUAGCCCGGGUUGCUCCAACCUGGCCUUGGACACCCAGGGAUGGGGCAACCACAGCUUCUCUGGGCAACCUGCUCACCACCCUCACAUUGAAAAAUUUCUUCCCAAUAUCCCAUCUAACCCUGCCCUCUGACAGUGGGAAGCCGUUUCCCCUUGUCCUGUCUCUCCAUCCUUUGUCACUGGAAGGGGCUCUCAGGUCUCCCUGGAGCCUUCUCUUUUCCAGAUGAACCCCCCCCCCAGCUCUCCCAGCCUGGCUCCAGAGCAGAGGGGCUCCAGCCCUGGGAGCAUCUCCGUGGCCUCCUCUGGACCUGCUCUAGCAGCUCCAGAGAGGGAAGAUGCUGAUGGGACAAGGAAAGGUUGAGGGAGCUGGGGCUGUUUAGUCUCGAGAGGAGACACUGAGAGGGGACCUUCCCAGUGUGUGUCAGGAUCUGCAGGGAGGGGGCAGAGGAUGGACCAGGCUCUGCUCAAUGGGGGGGGCAGCAAUAGGAUAAGAGGAACAGGCAGGAACUUAUGCCCAGGAAGUUCCACCUGGACAUGAAGAAGAACUUCUUUCCUGUGCAGUGACUGAGCACUGAACAGGCUGCCCAGGGAGGGGGCGGAGUGUCUCUGGGGAUAUUCCAGAACCUCCUGGACACGAUCCUGUGCCAUGUGCUCUGGGAUAACCCUGCUUGAGCAGAGAGGUGGGACCAGAUGCCCCACUGGGGUCCCUUCCAAGCUGAACCAUUCUGGGAUUCCUGCUUGAAGAAGGAGCAAAGCUGCCCAGACAGAGGCCAUUCCUCCAUUCCUGAUGUCCUGAGCCACAGCAUCGCCCUGUCCCUCCCCAGCACACUGCCCUGCUCCUGCCCCUUCCUGGCCUUGUGUGAGGGCCAGGGGGGAUUAGGCAGACAAUUGGGGGUCAAAGUUCAACCCUGAGUGCAGGAUUUAGAGGAAAGCCCUGAUCCUCCCAAGGCAAAGAGCAGAGUGGCAUAAGGAGGUGUAUUGAAAAGGCUGGAAGGCCAACAAAGCAAAAUCAGAUAUUGAAUCUGCCCAUCUGAAGACUUUUGUGAGUCUUAAGUCUCACAAGAUGUGAAACAGUGAGAAGAGGAGCUUUGUGGGACAUAAAAUGACUGUGCCCCAGUUUGUGGUGGCUGAAAAGUUUCCCAGUGCUGUACCUUGAAUAAACAUUGUCAAUCCCAGCAGAGCUGAGGUUUCUUCCUGGUAGCAUUUGUGAGACUUGUUAGAGGAUUUCACAAGCACUUUUCAGUGAUAGGACAUGAAGUUCUGGUUGCUUCUCUGCACCCACACCCUUGGGAUUGGGAUAGCUUUGGAAUCUCACCAGGGAUCUCAUGGUCAGGGAGGCUGAGCUCAGACGGCCUAGUGGCUUCUUCUGGCCGUGCUGGGCUGGCACCCCAUGCGUUGUCCCCCACUCCCGUGAGGUGACCAUGGUGGACCAGCAGCUGUGAUCAGCCUUUCUCCCAUGCAGCUCCACCUCCUCCAUCUGUGGAACUGCGUCAUGUUCGUGGGGAGCACGACAGCUGCUGACAGGGAAAAGCAGCACCAGGAGCGCAGGGAAUAUUUAGCUUCUUUUAAUUGAGAAGCAUUUUGAGUUAAAAAGUUAAUCAUGCUGUCGGCUUUUGUUCCUUUUUUCUUCUCUGCCUCACAGCUGUUUCUGUCAACUAAAAAUAAGCUGAACCAGCAAACAAAACAUGAGAAAUCAGCUCCCCACAGAGAGCUCAGAUCGCAGCAGAAGAUGCUCCUUGAGUGAGCUGCGGUGCAGAGUCCCCUCAGGUAGAUCCUGUUCUUUCCAGACAUGGCAGGGUUAUGUUUGAAGGACAGGUAUAGCCAAAACGUGGGUGGGCACAGGGAGGCGGGAGGUGAGGUUUUCAGAAGCAGUAAACCUUGGCCUGGUUUGUCCCCUCUGGAAUAGGAUGGCAGGACAUCCAGGUGAUUUUGUCACUGAUAGAGAAACCAGAUCAGAGGCUGACGGGUGUGUAGUAGGACACACAUUACCUAAACAUGGCCACUUCUCCAAAAGAUCAGGUUGGAUUCACCAUGCUAAACACAGGUGCACCUCCUUGGAAAGCCAUUACAGUGAAGAGUCAGUCCCUGCAGAGGAGAAGGCUGAUUAGUGCAUUAUUUGAUCACUGUUUCCAGCUUCUGAGCUGGAUUUCCCUUGGAGAGGGACUUUUCACAAGAGCAUGUAGUGAUAGGACAAGGGGGAAUAUCCUUAAGAUGGUGAAGGCCAGGUUCAGAUUAGGUAUUACGAAGAAAUUCUUGGCUGAGAGGGUGUUGAGGCCCUGGCACAGGUUGCCCAGAGAAGCAGUGGCUGCUCUGUCCCUGGAAGUGUCCAAGACCAGGUUGGACAGAGCUUGGAGCAACCUGGGCUGGUGGAAGCUGUCCCUGCCUGUGGCAGGGGAUUGGAUUGGGAUGAGCUUUAAUGUCCCUCCCAAACCAUUCUGGGAUUCUCUGAUUUCCCUUAUUUAUCCUGCCUCUUUCUCCACUAAAGAGCAGGUAGAGGGUUGCAUUUCUCCUCAGUCAGAAAGCCUCCUUGCUCCCUUCACUUCUGGCUGUGGAAAUGAGGGUAAAUACAACAAAGAUGUUUGGUUUGCCUUGAUUGCUGCGAUUUAAACAAGACUCAACACAAGGGUAACACUUACUCGCUCUUCUGCCAAACCUGGGAUUCUCCAGGCAUUGGAGAUGCUCUACACGAGCUCCAGUUUCACUCAAGGUGUUGAUCCCUCUUCUGAAGAGAUCCAAGGGCCUGAGACCAUCUAAGCAAUACAUUCAACAGCAACAUUCCCCCAGAAAAACUGAAAAUUUGCUGAAAAUACCUUUUAGCCAGGCAAAUAUCAGCUUGCACUUUCUCAAGUCCAUGUGAGAGAAAGAGGAUACACAGAUUAUCAUUCACUCACUGCCUCAGGCACUUCAGUUUUUAAAGCCUCUUCAGAAAUCUAUGAAAGUCUCUUUAGAACUAGUCCAUUUUUCCACUCUAAUUUGUUAAUGGAUUGCAAUCAGACUCAAAUGUACAGAUUUUUAAGAAAGAGCAAAGAUGAAGAAUUUCGGUCAAAUAGGACUUGGAGACAGUGAUAUAAACCUAUAUGAAUGUAACAUCCCCUCUAAACUCUUCAGUUAGUGAACAGGUUAACAAACAGCUAAGUUUAGGCAUUCAGAGUUUUCAGUCUGGUGAAAAAGUUGCAGACAAGCCCCUGAAUGCUGGAGGUUGCAUUACAUGCUGUUGCAAAAGUAAUAUCAUUUAUCUGGACAGUAAAGUGACAUCUCUCUCAUUUCAUGGCAGAACUCUUUGGUUUGCAGAGGUUUUUCUAACCAACACUGUCCAAGAUAGUUCCAGACUUGAAAAGAAAAUGCCUGUGCUGUCAUAGGGCCACAUGAAAGUUAGUUAGCCAAGCUGAAACCUGAGAGUAAUUAGCUCGGCUGCAGAAAGGUCCCAGCUAUGCUGCCUUCAGGAUCCAGCGUUUCUGCAGGGCCUUGUGGAUACGAGAGUAGCUGUGGCUUGGGAAAAAGGGAGUCAUUUCACUACAAUUUUUAUUUAGUCUGUGAUUAUUCAAUCGGUGGACAUGGGAAUUUUAUAUUAUAGUGGCCAUAAAAUGUAUUCUGGCAGUUUUAAAGCGGCAUCUUUCCUGCAGUUUGAAGGGCAAAUGAAAGUAAUCUGGACUAUUUACUGCAUGGAAGGCUCAAAUACUCCAUGAAUGCUCCUGGCAAAUCUCUCCCUGUUGUCAUAAGGCUGAAGUGCUGAGAAGGGAAGAGAGAAAAUUUUCUCUGGAAACAGCCAAUUCUCAAUUGAAAUAGUCCUACCAGUCUUUGUAACAUUUCCCACCCCACUUUUGAAAGGUGAGAUAAUUCAGCUCUUUAUUACACCUUUAGUAUAAUAUAAUGAUAACUGGUCUGGAGAAGGAGCUGCUCUCCAGGGGAGGAAAGAGCUCCUCCAAAUCCACAAAUCCAGCUGCAAAUUGGGUGGAAGUGUUUGUCUGAGAUCCCAAGACAAUGAGGGAAAAGUUUUAUGUCAGGACAUCUCAACAUAUUCUCUGGUGGCCACAUCCCAUUCCUGUAGGUAUUUCCACAUAGCAUUACUGAUGCAAUCCCUGUGUUUUACACUCAUACUAACAUUUAUUAACAAUGCUGUUGGGCUGCAAAUCAGCACUGAAGAGCUGGACAUCUGUGGAUACCCAUCCUUUCUCCAAACUGUGUUUCUCUAUCAAAAGGAACAUGCUUGGGAAACAUCCCAAGAGCGAAACCCUUCCCUUGCAAAUCACGACAUGGAACAUCCCAAAAGUGAAACCUUUCCCUUGCAAAUCGGGCCAUGGAGCACCUUGAGAGUGAAACCCUUCCCUUGUAUAUCAAGGCAUGGAGCUACCACGAGGUGGCAUCAAACUCAUGUGAUGGGGCAUCGAACCUUCAGUUUUCAGGCGUUUUUCUAGUUUGAGGACAUCCCAGUGCAGCAUUCCGAAGCCAAAAGGGGUGCACUGAUGUUUUGGAACCAGAAGCUCUAAUUUCACAAAUCUGCGUGUUUUGUUAGGUGUAAUUUGACUGCCCUCCAUGAGUAGCACUAUUCUAGGGUGGUACCUGAAUGUAAACCAGGUAAAUUAACCUGUAUGAAAUAGGUUAAUGCAGUGCUUUCCAAAAUCCAGGGCUGGUCCCACCAAGGCAGAGGAAGGGUGAACAUGGCUUUUAGGAACAAAUGACUUGGCAAAAGUGUCCUUCAGAAAGGUUCUCAGAAAGAGGGCUGUGAGUUCUGCUGGUGCUCUCUGCCAUAUGUGCACGAAGGCUCAGGGCACGAGGUGAAACCAGCACCUGGCACGCUGGGCCAGCUCACAGAUGUGUGAAAUCCUCAUCCUGGCAGGUUUUGUGACAGGGCACAGCCCUUGGCAGCGGGUAGGAGGUGGUGGAUCACCCUGGUGUCCUCCUGCAGGUGCUGCAGAACCCAGGCCCCACACUGCACAGCACACAGACUCUGUGUGCGGGGACUCAGGGUGGGAAAGGCACCGUGGUGCUGCAGGAAACCCAUGGAAAAGGGAGCAUGAGGAGUGAGUGGCCCACAGGACCUGCCAGCUUUGUGUCUGUGGUGGUGUGGGUGGGUCCAGUAACAACCCAGCCCCCACGAUGGGCAGACCCAGCCUGGGCAGCCCCAGGAAGGGCCACGGAGCAGUGACGGAUGUCUGGAGGUUCUGGGGUGAGUUCCAAAGGUUCUGUGGAGGUACUGGAGGUUCAAUGACUUCACUGUCAGCCCAGGCCUUUCUCAUCCUCUGGCUGGUUCCAAAGCUUUGCUUUGGGGGGCUCUCAGUGGGGCAGCUUUUACUCCCACUCCAUUCAAGUGGAAACUUAUCCCCUCUCCGGCAGAAAACAGGCAGUUUGGCCAACUUCUGAAUGAUAUCUGAUUCCCUUUAAACACUUGAAGAGCACCACUUCUUACAGAAACACACUUCUGUAGGAGCUAGAGACCUGGAGCAGAGCCAAGGAGCUGGAAUUGGGAUACAGCAUUGCACAAGGAAGGCAGAGAGAGAAGGUUUUCAAGAUGCUUUAAGCAGAUCCUCAGCAGCCCAGAGGCUGAGGUGCCAGGAGGGGGCUGUUGGGCCCAUGAUAGACAAAGCCACUGGCACUACUGAUUAAGCAGCUCCGGGUUCCUGGGAAGCCCAUGGGAUAUCUUGGAGUCCAAUCAAGAAUAUUUUCCUGAAGCAUUUUGACAUGACGAGCUCCACACAAGUGAAUGAAGGAACUGCCCAGGCCCAGCUCUUAAAACUCUGCUCUGGAUCUGCUGCUGCUCCACCUCUAGCCCGGCAUGAACUCCUGGCAGACAGUGGUGCCACCUUGGGUUUCAGGACACGUGAAGGAACACUGCCCUAAUUCCAUGGUUCUGUGCUGAUUACACAGCCUCAACCACUUAAUAGUGGAUAAGGAAACAGUUUGAAAACCAGUGGAAAAGAAUGAAGUGUUGAGGCAUCACAACUGCAGCCUCUCCAGCUGUGACUCAGAGCCCCUCUCCACUCAAUUCAAAAUGAGGUCUCUGAGGAAAAAAUUGUGUGGGGUUCCUGCUUGCUCUCUGUAACUGCAGCAAAAUUAAAUCUCCUUCCUGCAACAAACAAAAUCCCUGCAAA